UCUUCGAUUAAGGAGGUGAUCCAGCCGCAGGUUCCCCUACGGCUACCUUGUUACGACUUCACCCCAGUCAUGAAU
rnacentral:tRNA from 1 species